rnacentral:rRNA from 1 species
AUGGCCAAAUCAUGUUAAAACAACAGUUUCCGUACGGUCACUGAAGUUAAGCAAUGUUGAGCCUGGUCAGUACCUAGAUGGGUAACCACUUGAGAAUACCAGAUGCUGUAAG